rnacentral:rRNA from 1 species
GAUGAACGCUGGCGGCAUGCCUAAUACAUGCAAGUCGAACGAGAGGAAGGAAAGCUUGCUUUUCUGAAUCUAGUGGCGAACGGGUGAGUAACACGUAGGUAACCUGCCCAUGUGCCCGGGAUAACUUCUGGAAACGGAUGCUAAAACCGGAUAGGUAGCAGACAAGCAUUUGACUGCCAUUAAAGUGGCUAAGGCCAUGAACAUGGAUGGACCUGCGGUGCAUGAGCUAGUUGGUGAGGUAACGGCCCACCAAGGCGACGAGGCAUAGCCGGCCUGAGAGGGCGGACGGCCACAUUGGGACUGAGACACGGCCCAAACUCCUACGGGAGGCAGCAGUAGGGAAUUUUCGUCAAUGGGGGGAACCCUGAACGAGCAAUGCCGCGUGAGUGAGGAAGGUCUUCGGAUCGUAAAGCUCUGUUGUAAGAGAAAAACGACAUUCAUAGGGAAUGAUGAGUGAGUGAUGGUAUCUUACCAGAAAGUCACGGCUAACUACGUGCCAGCAGCCGCAGUAAGAC